rnacentral:lncRNA from 1 species
UAUUAAAAAAAUUUAAUAGUAUUAGUGAUGAAAUAAUUUAUCAUCAUUAAUAAUUUUGAAAAAAUAUUAUUAUAUAAAUUUUGAAAAAAAUUUAAUAUUAAAAUUUAAUAUUUUAAAAAAAUUAAUAGUAUUAGCGACAGCGGAUGGAUAUUAGCGAUGAAAACUGUCGUCACUAAAAUUUUGAUACAUAAAAUAGAGUUUUAUCGACCGUAUUACCGAUGGUCAUUGCCGUCGGUAAUAAUCUGGCUAAAAAACACCCCCA